rnacentral:rRNA from 1 species
CACGUAGGGUGCGAGCGUUGUCCGGAAUUAUUGGGCGUAAAGAGCUCGUAGGCGGUGUGUCGCGUCGGCCCGUGAAAACCUGCAGCUUAACUGUGGGCUUGCGGUCGAUACGGGCAUCACUGGAGUUCGGCAGGGGAGACUGGAAUUCCUGGUGUAGCGGUGAAAUGCGCAGAUAUCAGGAGGAACACCGGUGGCGAAGGCGGGGUCUCUGGGGCCGAUACUGACGCUGAGGAAGCGAAAGCCGCGGGGAGCAAACAGG